CUAGAAGUGUUUUGGCCAUCCCGGACCGGAUUCAAACCGUUCUGUUCAACAGCAUGCAUCCAGGGGCAGGUUAUUAGAUGUUCUGGAAAAUGGACAUGUCGUGGCUGUCUCUGUAAAGAAAGUAGACAGACAGAAGUUGAGGCAUUCAGUUACUAUUCCAAUAAAUGUAAGAAUGUGUGAAAUGACUUAGUGACUUAAUGACGUAUGGUAGUCAGGUGUAGGUGUGUGAAAUGACUUAUUGACUUAAUGAGGUAUGGUAAUCAGGUGUAGGUGUGUGCAAUGACUGAGUGACUUAAUGAGGUAUGGUGGUCAGGUGUAGGUGUGUGAAAUGACUUAGUGACUCAAUGAGGUAUGGUGGUCAGGUGUAGGUGUGUGA
ensembl:lncRNA